AGUGGAAAAAACAAAUCCAACAUACGACACAGAAGUCGGUCACUCUCAGUACACUCACUACACCAAAAAGAAUAUGACGAUUGAAUUGAAAGCUCGGUGUGGGAUUGAAUGGCGCUGGCUCGGUGGUCAGGAUCACAUACAGACUUGUACUUCGAGCACCGAUGAAAUAGCGUGCACGGUUGGAUAAUUGAAGAAGACCGUGAAUAGACCUUCCCUGGAGCUAUUGCUGUGAAAAUAAUCCGUUCAUAAAGAUAAUUCCAUCAGUAAGAGACGACAUACCUAACUUUGGGCCGGCAGACGUCACAAAUCAACGCGGAUAUAAACAGUCAUUAAUAAAUACCAAGGCUAAAAGAAAA